GCCAGAGUGGUGAAAUUGGUAGACACAGGGGAUUCAAAAUCCCCCGGGGUAAAACCCGUGCCGGUUCGAGUCCGGCCUCUGGUA
rnacentral:tRNA from 1 species